rnacentral:rRNA from 1 species
GACGAACGCUGGCGGCGUGCUUAACACAUGCAAGUCGAACGGAAAGGCCCCCUUGUGGGGUACUCGAGUGGCGAACGGGUGAGUAACACGUGAGUAACCUACCCUUGACUUUGGGAUAACUUCAGGAAACUGGGGCUAAUACCGGAUAGGAGCUCCUGCUACAUGGUGGGGGUUGGAAAGUUUCGGCGGUUGGGGAUGGACUCGCGGCUUAUCAGCUUGUUGGUGGGGUAGUGGCUCACCAAGGCUUUGACGGGUAGCCGGCCUGAGAGGGUGACCGGCCACAUUGGGACUGAGAUACGGCCCAGACUCCUACGGGAGGCAGCAGUGGGGAAUAUUGCACAAUGGGCGGAAGCCUGAUGCAGCAACGCCGCGUGCGGGAUGACGGCCUUCGGGUUGUAAACCGCUUUCGCCUGUGACGAAGCGUGAGUGACGGUAAUGGGUAAAGAAGCACCGGCUAACUACGUG